ensembl:lncRNA
AGAAACCUUUAUAUGUCCCAGAAGUUAUACAUAGCCUUCUCUACAGUAUAUUCUGUAAAUAUUUAUUUCAUUUUUAGUAUGCCUUUAUUUGUUUUAGCACUUAGCAACUAUGAAAUGCACUGCAAUAAAACAAUGCAUUUCUUAUUAAGAUAUCAAGAUUCUUGCCUCAGUUUAAUAAAAAAUAAGUGAACAAAAAUGAUUAAAAAUGUAUAAUAACAACAACUAACAAAUACAUUUUUUUCUUAAUUUUACAAAGCUUGUCCAAAAGACAGUGAACACAGUUUGCCAGAAGGGAAAAAAAUAGUAUUUGACAAUUUCUUGCUCUUAAUUCCAACAGUUUUAUAGAAAUAAUAAUAAUAAUAAUAAUAAUAAUUUACCCCACAUAAAAAAAAUAAAUAAAAAAUCUUAAAGAAAACAUGCUUAAAAUCACUCUUUGUAUUACAAUGGCUUCAUAAAAGCAAUUCUUGUUAGUAUAAAAUGAAAAUAAAUAAGUGUCAAUGCUGGGCUCUCUGAGAGUUAAAGAUGCAUGGACAUCUGAUAAUCCAGGGUUAAUCUGUCACGAGACCCGUGUGUGAUGUUCAGGGGUUAAAACAAAGAUGCGCAAGAGAGAGUCGCUGUUUCCCUCCACAGACACGAUGCGCUCUUCCACACAGUGCACUCGCUCAUCCUAGUAGGACCUCAGUCAGUGGUCAGUGUACACAGACACUUUGCAUCUUCUCCCCGCGGAGGCUGCACUUCAGCACCCGGCGCGAGAACAAUUCCCCAACUUCACUUCACUUGCGCUCGAGACGCCGCGCGCGCACACUCUCAUUCUGUCACAUUCAUCGACGCGUGUAUCAUCCGCUGUGUGGUGAAAAGCGCAGACCUGCGUGGGACCGAUUUCCCGCCGCUGCGAGGAAGCACCAACCGUCCUCUGAAAGGUAAAAGUUACCGCACACCUCUUCAAUUUGAUGAGUUUGUAGGUUAUGUCUGUUUGUUCUUCUUCCUUUCUUUUUUCCAUUUGUUUACAUGAAGACAUACAUUUAUGUGUAGUGUCAAAUCAUAAAAACUGGUGGUGGGUGUGUGUUUGUAAUUCAUGAUUUCAGCGGCUGUUAAUGAACACCAGUGUGAAAUUUGUAUUUACGUGAGGUUAUUUUUGGAUCAGUUAUAAGUGAAUAUGAUUAGAUAUAAUUUAUCAGUCUCAUAGGUAGGCUAUUGCUCAGCAGUAGCUCAAUUAAUCGUGUGAUACCUGUUGAUGCUUCUCAUAACACUCAUUAAAAUAUCGGUAGCUACAGGUCUAAAAACCUCUCUUGAAAAUAGAAACAAAACAAAACAACUUUGCACAUUCCUGAUUAAAAAAGAAAGAAAGAAAGAAAAAACCUUUCUAAUCCAAUGCCCGAUUAAUGGAAAAAAGAAAGCAAAAUAAUUAAAUUAUCAUUUAUGUUUUUAUAAUUGACCAACUAACAUAUUAUUUAGGCUUCAUUUAUCCUUCUGAUAUACAGAAGUACAAAGACUUUGCCUGGAGAAACUGUGGAAGGAAGUUUAGAGUUUUGCUUGCAAUCUAAUUGGUCAUUGUUAAGGUGUUUCAUAUUGCAUUUAAGACAGGACUUAUAGAUAUGUUGAGCACAGAGUAAUACAAUAAUUGGUUUUGGUUAGCAUGCAACCUACAUAUUUUUU